AUUGAACGCUGGCGGCGUGCUUAACACAUGCGAGUCGUGCGAGAAAGGGGACUUCGGUCCCUGAGUAGAGCGGCGCACGGGUGAGUAACGCGUGGAUCACCUACCCGGAUGUUCGGGAUAACGGCGGGAAACUGCCGCUAAUACCGGAUAAGCUCCAAUUUCGGUUGGGGGAGAGGCGGCCUCUGUUUACAAGCUGUCGCGUCCGGAUGGGUCCGCGGCCCAUUAGCUUGUUGGUAGGGUAACGGCCUACCAAGGCUACGAUGGGUAGCUGGUCUGAGAGGAUGAUCAGCCACACUGGAACUGAAACACGGUCCAGACUCCUACGGGAGGCAGCAGUGGGGAAUAUUGCGCAAGGGGGGAAACCCUGACGCAGCGACGCCGUGUGAGGGAAGAAGGCUUUCGGGUCGUAAACCUCUGGCAGAAAGGAAGAACCUCCCGGGACCGAACAGGCCUCGGGACUGACGGUACUUUCAAAGGAAGCACCGGCUAACUCCGUGCCAGCAGCCGCCGUAA
rnacentral:rRNA from 1 species